rnacentral:miRNA from 1 species
AGUGGGAGGCCAGGGCACGGCA